UCUGUGUUUUAGUUGGCAGUUCCCAUCUACAUGUAUAUGUGCACCCUUCUUUAUCACAUAUAUGUUGCCAAUUGUUUGGGAGGAUCAAUAUACGCCUCAUCAACCAGCUUAAUGGGAAGCAUAUCGACAAGUCAUACCGCGGUAUGUUCAAUAGAAACAUUUAUCACGGAUGCGCUGGUGUGGUGGCACUGCAGACAUUGUUUGAUAAAGAAGAGGGCUUCCUUGUCCAGGAUUGUUGCAUUGUUGAAGUGGAAGUGACAGUCCUUUCACGGUUUUGAACACUGCUGCUCGUGAUGCUGGAGGGACAAAUCAGCACGCUGUUGAAGAGGAGGCUUAUCAUAACCCAUUCGAGUGGGAUAUGUCACCUUUUUUUCGCAUCUUCCAAAAGGAUCCGCGGUUUGACAUCACAGAUUUGAUUUUGAAGCAUAGACCUCUGGAUGGAUUUCCACAGGAGUGGUAGCUAAAAUUCAAUCGAUGUAAACAUCAUGAGAUCAGAUUAUCUAUGUGCAGUAUCCGAUUUUCUUUUUCGUUUUCUUUUAGAUGUAGUGCUCCAGAUUUCGUUUUCCCCUUGUCGAUGUAGCAAGU